UACGUAGGGGGCAAGCGUUGUCCGGAUUUAUUGGGCGUAAAGAGCGUGUAGGCGGCCAGAUAGGUCAGCUGUGAAAACUCGAGGCUCAACCUCGAGACGUCGGUUGAAACCAUCUGGCUAGAGUCCGGAAGAGGAGAGUGGAAUUCCCGGUGUAGCGGUGAAAUGCGCAGAUAUCGGGAAGAACACCCGUGGCGAAGGCGGCUCACUGGCCCGAUACUGACGCUGAGGCACGAAAGCGUGGGGAGCAAACAGG
rnacentral:rRNA from 1 species